rnacentral:ncRNA from 2 species
ACGCUCCGAGCGAGCCCCUCUAAGGCCCCGCGCAGGCGGCGGUAUCGAGAGGCCCGCCGACAGGGUUCCGCUGGAAACGGCGGAGCCUCCCGGUUGCAUGGAAAGGAGCGCUGG